rfam:Triticum aestivum genome assembly, contig: Triticum_aestivum_CS42_TGACv1_scaffold_577107_7BL
AACCUACUCCCUCCGUUCCGAAAUACUUGACUUCCAUUUGUCCAAAAAUGGAUGUACCUAUAUACUAAAACAUGUCUAGAUACAUAUAUAUUUUGACAAAUGGAAAACAUGUAUUGUGGAACGGAGGGAGUAAGUU